rnacentral:rRNA from 1 species
AAAUUGAAGAGUUUGAUCAUGGCUCAGAUUGAACGCUGGCGGCAGGCCUAACACAUGCAAGUCGAACGGUAACAGGAAGCAGCUUGCUGCUUUGCUGACGAGUGGCGGACGGGUGAGUAAUGUCUGGGAAACUGCCUGAUGGAGGGGGAUAACUACUGGAAACGGUGGCUAAUACCGCAUAACGUCGCAAGACCAAAGAGGGGGACCUUCGGGCCUCUUGCCAUCAGAUGUGCCCAGAUGGGAUUAGCUUGUUGGUGAGGUAACGGCUCACCAAGGCGACGAUCCCUAGCUGGUCUGAGAGGAUGACCAGCCACACUGGAACUGAGACACGGUCCAGACUCCUACGGGAGGCAGCAGUGGGGAAUAUUGCACAAUGGGCGCAAGCCUGAUGCAGCCAUGCCGCGUGUAUGAAGAAGGCCUUCGGGUUGUAAAGUACUUUCAGCGGGGAGGAAGGUGUUGUGGUUAAUAACCGCAGCAAUUGACGUUACCCGCAGAAGAAGCACCGGCUAACUCCGUGCCAGCAGCCGCGGUAAUACGGAGGGUGCAAGCGUUAAUCGGAAUUACUGGGCGUAAAGCGCACGCAGGCGGUCUGUCAAGUCGGAUGUGAAAUCCCCGGGCUCAACCUGGGAACUGCAUUCGAAACUGGCAGGCUUGAGUCUUGUAGAGGGGGGUAGAAUUCCAGGUGUAGCGGUGAAAUGCGUAGAGAUCUGGAGGAAUACCGGUGGCGAAGGCGGCCCCCUGGACAAAGACUGACGCUCAGGUGCGAAAGCGUGGGGAGCAAACAGGAUUAGAUACCCUGGUAGUCCACGCCGUAAACGAUGUCUACUUGGAGGUUGUGCCCUUGAGGCGUGGCUUCCGGAGCUAACGCGUUAAGUAGACCGCCUGGGGAGUACGGCCGCAAGGUUAAAACUCAAAUGAAUUGACGGGGGCCCGCACAAGCGGUGGAGCAUGUGGUUUAAUUCGAUGCAACGCGAAGAACCUUACCUGGUCUUGACAUCCACAGAACUUUCCAGAGAUGGACUGGUGCCUUCGGGAACCGUGAGACAGGUGCUGCAUGGCUGUCGUCAGCUCGUGUUGUGAAAUGUUGGGUUAAGUCCCGCAACGAGCGCAACCCUUAUCCUUUGUUGCCAGCGAUUAGGUCGGGAACUCAAAGGAGACUGCCAGUGAUAAACUGGAGGAAGGUGGGGAUGACGUCAAAGUCAUCAUGGCCCUUACGACCACGGGCUUACACCACGUGCUACAAUGGCGCAUACAAAGAGAAGCGACCUCGCGAGAGCAAGCGGACCUCAUAAAGUGCGUCGUAGUCCGGAUUGGAGUCUGCAACUCGACUCCAUGAAGUCGGAAUCGCUAGUAAUCGUGGAUCAGAAUGCCACGGUGAAUACGUUCCCGGGCCUUGUACACACCGCCCGUCACACCAUGGGAGUGGGUUGCAAAAGAAGUAGGUAGCUUAACCUUCGGGAGAGCGCUUACCACUUUGUGAUUCAUGACUGGGGUGAAGUCGUAACAAGGUAACCGUAGGGGAACCUGCGGUUGGAUCACCUCCUUA